AUAUAUAUAUAUAUAUAUAUAUAUAUAAGCUAAAUAAGUGAAAAGGAAAAGGAGUCCUGAAAGGGAAACUUUACGCACGUAGGCACGUGUUAGAAGAUACGUGUAUCAUGGAAUGUACGUCAUUUCGUACGUCACUACGGCAAGUUAGUGGAAACGCGUUGCAUCACCUCUUUUUGUUGACUGCUCUGUGUUGUGUUGUGCUUUUUUCGGGAUUUCAGUCAACUCUACACCAGUUGUAACUCUGCAGAUUGCCAGUCCUUGUAUUCUGAAGUACAACUAUCAGGCUUAACAUCAGCUUGAAGUCACAUUCCGACUAAAGGCAGUAGCAGCCAAUAAAACCAACACGAAGGACACUUUCAGCAUCUUGGAGUCCAAAAGCUUUAUGCUAUGUUCACACAUACACAGGUUGUAACUCUGCAGAUUGCCAGUCCUUGUAUUCUGAAGUACAGAUCCUACUGGUCUCUGUACUAUGAUGUACUACUGGUUGCCAUAGUAAUGAUGGUUAACAGUGUGUUGCACAACAAGCAUUCCACUUGACAACAAAACCUUUCCUCCAGCUAAAAUGUAAGAUUCUGGAGGGAGAUAUGUUUGUAUAUAUAAUUCACCAGUGUAUAUUUAUAUAUGCAGCAUCAUAGCAAUCACUCUCACUCUCGCACUCAUUUUCUUAUCCUAACUACCUCGGGUCUCAUGGGGAGCCUGUGCCUAUCUCAGGCAUCAUCGGGCAUCAAGGCAGGAUACACCCUGGACGGAGUUCAAUAGCAAUCAUACAAGAAGAAAAUUGAAAAUUGGUGUACCGUUUUGCUCCAUAUUUGCAUAAAGUAUAUAUGCAGCUCAGAUCAGAUCAGCAUAAUCCAGUCCAGGCUUAGCAAAAACAGACUAUUUAUUAGACUAUAACAGACUAUACAUUUCUUUGCUGCAUGGAGCCUAGGUGUAAUGCCACAUUUAGAAUUCUUAAAUGUAAAAGCAUCAAAUGUACCCUUUUCUAAACGUAUAAAUAUACAAUUAUGUAGUUAAUGCCUGCCAGAAUAGACAGCAAAAAUGCAGCUGCCAGAGAUCUCACCAGGUCAAGGAAAUAUGAAUAUAUAACACCAAUUUUAUCAUCCCUGCACUGGCUACCUGUUAAGUGCUUUAAACAGUUUAGCUCCCAUGUACCUAACCAGUCUUCUAAUAUGAUAUAAUCCCUCAUGCACAAAACUCUGGACUUCUGGGGGUUCCCAGAAUAUCAAAGUCUACUAAAGGCAGUAGAUUGUUUUAGUAUUUAGCUCCUAAACUUCGGAAUAGCCUUCCUGACAGUGUACUUGCCUCAGACACACUUUCAAAGUGUAAAUGUAGAUUAAAGUCAUAUGUCUUUAGCCUGGCAUUCACAUAAAACCACUCCACUACAUCAGCUUAAAUGUACAUUAUCAACAAGUGCUUGCUAAUAUUUAAUAUAUUAAUAAUAACAACCUUUGCUAAUAUUAUGAACAGCAGCUAUGCUAAUCCCUCUCCACUUGCUUUUCUUUUUCUGCCCAUCCCCAGUCAUAGAAAUUGUGCCAGCUCCAGUUGUGUUACACUUCAUGAAGAUUUACGAUCUCAAAGAGAAGUGGCCAACCCUGGAAAGAUCCCGAGGCAUCUAGAGAUGUCUGGUUGGAUUCCACUUCAUGUAGAUUUCAAAUAUUCGAAGAGAAUUUGCCGACCCCAUUAGGACUUUCCGGAGAGCAACCUCUGAAUCAAUACACAAAAUAACACCCUACAUAUGCUGUAUCUCCAUUAUUAUCAUUUGAAUGCUUCAUCACAGAGGAGUUGGUGUUGAAUUUAUAAUGAACUCAGACGAUGAACUAAUUUAUGAGUUGAUCAGGAGCUCCUGGUUAUACAAUUAUUAAUUGACUGUAUAUGACUGUUGAAAGGACAUUAUUUAUAAUCACACUCCAUAUUCCAAUUCACAGUUGACUUUUUUUGGCCAAGUUGACACAGUUGGCCAACCUCACACAAAAUUUGUAGAAGUUCGUAGAAAAAAUGUAGAAAAGAAAUAGCAUAUAUCGGACCUUUAUGGCUACUCACCAAGUGGUUGCUGAAAAGACCUAUGUAAGGCAAAAAAAUCAAUACUGGUGAACUCUCUGCACUAAUGAUGGGCUUCAUAAACUGUCUGGGUCACCCUGUGAGGAGGCUCAAUGCUGUAAGUCAAUUUACUUAGUCCUGACCUAAUUAUCAAAGCAAGUAUGGCAAGUAUGGCUGUAUAAUUUUCUAUGUUUAUUCCUAACUAAAUUGUUAUUAUCUAGUUUUAAAUAGUAAAAAAAUCUAGUCAAGUUUAAGAUGUGGCAAAAUAUGUGGGGACUGGAGUAGACUAAAAUGAAGGUUAGAUAUUAACACAGACACAUUCUCUCUGUCCCUAUAUAUAACAAAUAGUGAAUAAAGUUAAAACCAUUCUGAACUGUAAACUGAGGUCAUGUUUAAAUGUCAUCCGAUAACAAAUGAUUCCUGGCACUAUGCUGGCCCCAUCAUGUUGUCUGGCCAACAUAUCUCCGUGGGAUGAAAACUAUGAAAUCAUAGCUGCCAUAACACAGCUGACACUCAGCCUUGAUAAGACCAGGUUCCUUAUAGAAGGCCCACAACAUUUAAAUGCCACAUGAGCACUACCUACAUUUGGAUCAUUUCGCCUCUGAAUCCAAAUGUAUUAAUAAAACUACCGGUAUUCAUGUUUCUUCUUAUGAUUGGUCUAGGUUUCUCUAGGUUACUUUCCAUUAAAUUUAGAAAUAGUGAAACAGAACUAAUAAUGCUAAUAAUAAAAUUAGUAACUAGCAAUUGUGUUUUGUGUGCCUCAUUCUGCAUGGCUUGACAUUUGACAUACUCACCAAACAAACUUGAUUUUGUGACUUUCUUGUAACAGAGGGGAAAUUCAUACGGUACAAAAGGUUGAAUGCUAAAUGCAUGAAAGUUAAAUAUAAACUGAAAAAAAAGUUUGCAUAAUGUGUGAUUCUAAUCACUCCAUGAAAAAGUAUGUGACUUGUCUUGGUUCAACAACUACACUGUUUUCUGAAAGAAUACUUGCCUCCCCCCGCCAACACACAGUACUUUUACAUUUCUUAAGAAGGUACGUUUGGCAUUUGAAAUAUCUUCUCCUUUAUUUCCCCAGAAUAUUAGGAUUUAGUCUUUACCCCAUGUCACCACUGCGUUCAUCCUGAUUUAUGGGAAUUGUCAAGAAUGCCUAUGCUUUGUUAUUAGUUCUAGUGAGAUUGAGAUUUCAGCUUAAUCUUUGCUGUCAACAUUGUUAACAGCUUCACAGACGUUAUCCAAAAUAUCAUACAUUUCUGAAAGAUUUCUUUAUCUGGAUCUCUACCUAUGCUACCUAAGCUAUUCAAUAUAGGAUUAUUCCUGAAGUUUAAAACUUUAUACAGACUGUAUUUACAGACUUCUCUAGGAGAAACACUGCUAAUACUGUGUCUUGCCUCAUCCCCUUAACUAGUAAUAAUUCAGUAAUAUAAUAAAAGUCUAUUUCGGAAAAGCACUGGCAGUUAUCGUGAUGUUAUUGCAUUAGUUCUUAUAAAGUUGUUUUUCCCUUUCAAAGAGCAGCAUGUUUUUCUGCUAACACCAAAUUAUUUGGCUUCUCUGGGAGCUUAUAGGCUUCUGGCUUGUUUUAUUUCUGUCUCCAAAACAAGGUGGGGGCAGAGUGAAGGGGCAUUUGGGAGUGUCUACAAAAUGGCUGACAGGAGGCUCACCCAAAACCACUUCCAGUCUGGAAGGCAAGUUUUCCAAACAGCUUUCGCAGCCACAUAACACACGUGUGCUGAGGCCAUGGUUACUCUUUUUUAUUAUGUUCUGGUAUUUCUGGUAACUUUACCUAACCUUACAUCCAUGUAUAGUAUCCUACAAAUGUAUUAAAUAUAGUCUAUUAUUAUAUACAGUUAAUUCGAUAUGAAUGGCACCCAGUAAGACUAGUUCAUACACAUUAAAAACUGUGAGAAAUCAAGAAACUGUGUAAAAAAUAAAUUUUGAUAUUUUUAAUUUAAAUGGCUGAUGUUCAAAUUUUGGUGUUUGCUAUACAGUCUAUAUGAGGGGAAGUUACAAUCUUCUGUAUGUGCUGAAUUGAUUUCACUGGAACUUCACAAAGGGAAACAGAACAUGUUCAUUUGUGUGAGUCAGUGUGGGGGUGGAGUGGCAGGAAACUCCAAGCUUUUUCUACACCACGACUGGGACAUUAGUGUGGAACGACUGGAAUUUCCUGCUUGAGAAAAGUAUGUGUUAUUCUGGAUGAGUCAUUCUCAUAUUAUAUCAGUAUGUAACCAACAGCAAUAAAUACAAAUUCCUCUGUA